rnacentral:rRNA from 1 species
AUUGGGGCUCGAGAAGCGUUAUCCGCGCCGGACCAGGCUUUAAAUCCUUUGGAAUAAGGUACCUUAGAGGGUGAUAGUCCCUUUCAUAGUCUGGAACCACCGGGGCUUUGUGAUGCGCUCUCCAAGAGUCGAGUUGUUUGGGAAUGCAGCUCAAAAUGGGUGGUAAAUGCCAUCUAAGGCUAAAUAUAGAGGAGAGACCGAUAGCGAACAAGUACCGUGAGGGAAAGAUGAAAAGAACUUUGGAAAGAGAGUUAAACAGUACGUGAAAUUGCCGGAAGGGAAGGGUAGGAAGUCAGAUAUGUCUUGGUGGAUUCAGCUUGACCUUUCGAGGUUGGGUGUAUUUCCGUCAUGGACAGGCCAGCAUCGAUUUUGGCUGCCGGAUAUUGGUAAGGGGAAUGUGGCAUCCUUUUCGGAGGGUGUGUUAUAGCCUCUUACUUGGUACGGCGGCUGGGAUCGAGGAACGCAGUGCACCCGUAAGGGCGGGCCUUAGGGCACCUUUGCACAUAGGAUGUUGGCUUAAUGGCUUUCUGCCACCCGUCUUGAAACACGGACCAAGGAGUCUAACAUGUAUGCGAGUCUUUGGGUGUGAAAACCCAUGGGCGAAAUGAAAGUGACCUUUAAGGUGGGACUCUCCGGAUGCACCAUCGACCGAUCUCGAUUUUUUAUAAUGACGGAUUUGAGUAAGAGCAUAUAUGUUGGGACCCGAAAGAUGGUGAACUAUGCCUGAAUAGGGUGAAGCCAGGGGAAACUCUGGUGGAAGCUCGUAGCGGUUCUGACGUGCAAAUCGAUCGUAAAAUUUGGGUAUAGGGGCGAAAGACUAAUCGAACCAUCUAGUAGCUGGUUCCUGCCGAAGUUUCCCUCAGGAUAGCAGAAACUCGUUACUCAGUUUUAUGAGGUAAAGCGAAUGA